UACGGAAGGCAGCAGUGGGGAAUAUUGCACAAUGGGCGCAAGCCUGAUGCAGCCAUGCCGCGUGUAUGAAGAAGGGCCUUCGGGUUGUAAAGUACUUUCAGUCGUGAGGAAGGUGUUAAGGUUAAUAACCUUAGCAAUUGACGUUAGCGACAGAAGAAGCACCGGCUAACUCCGUGCCAGCAGCCGCGGUAAUACGGAGGGUGCGAGCGUUAAUCGGAAUUACUGGGCGUAAAGGGCACGCAGGCGGUUAAUUAAGUUGGAUGUGAAAUCCCCGGGCUUAACCUGGGAAUGGCAUUCAAGACUGGUUAGCUAGAGUCUUGUAGAGGGGGUAGAAUUCCAUGUGUAGCGGUGAAAUGCGUAGAGAUGUGGAGGAAUACCGGUGGCGAAGGCGGCCCCUGGGACAAAGACUGACGCUCAUGUGCGAAAGCGUGGGGAGCAAACAGGAUUAGAUACC
rnacentral:rRNA from 1 species